rnacentral:rRNA from 1 species
ACGCUAGCUACAGGCUUAACACAUGCAAGUCGAGGGGAAACGACAUCGAAAGCUUGCUUUUGAUGGGCGUCGACCGGCGCACGGGUGAGUAACGCGUAUCCAACCUGCCCACCACUUGGGGAUAACCUUGCGAAAGUAAGACUAAUACCCAAUGACAUCCCACGAAGACAUCUGAAAGAGAUUAAAGAUUUAUCGGUGAUGGAUGGGGAUGCGUCUGAUUAGCUUGUUGGCGGGGUAACGGCCCACCAAGGCAACGAUCAGUAGGGGUUCUGAGAGGAAGGUCCCCCACAUUGGAACUGAGACACGGUCCAAACUCCUACGGGAGGCAGCAGUGAGGAAUAUUGGUCAAUGGACGAGAGUCUGAACCAGCCAAGUAGCGUGCAGGAUGACGGCCCUAUGGGUUGUAAACUGCUUUUAUAAGGGAAUAAAGUGAGUCUCGUGAGACUUUUUGCAUGUACCUUAUGAAUAAGGACCGGCUAAUUCCGUGCCAGCAGCCGCGGUAAUACGGAAGGUCCGGGCGUUAUCCGGAUUUAUUGGGUUUAAAGGGAGCGUAGGCCGGAGAUUAAGCGUGUUGUGAAAUGUAGACGCUCAACGUCUGCACUGCAGCGCGAACUGGUUUCCUUGAGUACGCACAAAGUGGGCGGAAUUCGUGGUGUAGCGGUGAAAUGCUUAGAUAUCACGAAGAACUCCGAUUGCGAAGGCAGCUCACUGGAGCGCAACUGACGCUGAAGCUCGAAAGUGCGGGUAUCGAACAGGAUUAGAUACCCUGGUAGUCCGCACGGUAAACGAUGGAUGCCCGCUGUUGGUCUGAAUAGGUCAGCGGCCAAGCGAAAGCAUUAAGCAUCCCACCUGGGGAGUACGCCGGCAA